CACGUAGGGUGCGAGCGUUGUCCGGAAUUAUUGGGCGUAAAGAGCUCGUAGGCGGUGUGUCGCGUCGGCCGUGAAAACCUGCAGCUUAACUGUGGGCGUGCGGUCGAUACGGGCAUCACUGGAGUUCGGCAGGGGAGACUGGAAUUCCUGGUGUAGCGGUGAAAUGCGCAGAUGUCAGGAGGAACACCGGUGGCGAAGGCGGCCCUCUGGACGGAUACUGACGCUGAGGCGCGACAGCGUGGGGAGCAAACAGG
rnacentral:rRNA from 1 species